rnacentral:rRNA from 1 species
CCUACGGGUGGCAGCAGUGGGGAAUAUUGCACAAUGGGGGAAACCCUGAUGCAGCGAUACCGCGUGGAGGAAGAAGGCUCUAGGAUUGUAAACUCCUUUUAUCAGGGACGAUAAUGCCGGUACCUGAAGAAAAAGCUCCAGCUCACUACGGGCCAGCAGCCGCGGUAAUACGUAGGGCGCGCGCGUUGUCCGGAAUUACUGGGUGUAAAGGGCGCGUCGGCGGGACGGCAAGUCAGAUGGGAACACUGAGGGCUCAAACUUCGGACUGCAUUUGAAACUGCUGUUCUUGAGUGAAGGAGAGGUAAGCGGAAUGCGUGGUGUAGCGGUGAAAUGCGUAGAUAUUAGGAGGAACAUCGGUUGCGAAGGCAGCUUACUGGGCCUUUACUGACGCUGAGGCUCGAAAGCGUGGGGAGCAAACAGGAUUAGAUACCCCAGUAGUC